rnacentral:rRNA from 1 species
UCAAUAAGCGGAGGAAAAGAAACUAACAAGGAUUCCCCUAGUAGCGGCGAGCGAAGCGGGAAGAGCUCAAAUUUAUAAUCUGGCACUUUCAGUGUCCGAGUUGUAAUCUCUAGAAGUGUUUUCCGCGUUGGACCGCACACAAGUCUGUUGGAAUACAGCGGCACAGUGGUGACACCCCCGUACACGGUGCGGACGCCCAGCGCUUUGUGAUACACUUUCGAAGAGUCGAGUUGUUUGGGAAUGCAGCUCAAAUUGGGUGGUAAAUUCCAUCUAAAGCUAAAUAUUGGCGAGAGACCGAUAGCGAACAAGUACCGUGAGGGAAAGAUGAAAAGCACUUUGGAAAGAGAGUUAACAGUACGUGAAAUUGUUGGAAGGGAAACGCUUGAAGUCAGACUUGCUUGCCGGAGCUUGCUUCGGUUUGCAGGCCAGCAUCAGUUUUCCGGGGUGGAUAAUGGCGGUUAGAAGGUAGCAGCUUCAGCUGUGUUAUAGCUUUCCGCUGGAUACAUCCUGGGGGACUGAGGAACGCAGCGUGCUUUUAGCGGGGGUUUCGACCUCUUCACGCUUAGGAUGCUGGUGUAAUGGCUUUAAACGACCCGUCUU